rnacentral:lncRNA from 1 species
GUAUAGGGGACUUUAGGGAUAGCAUUGGAAAUGUAAAUGAAGAAAAUACCUAAUUAAAAAAUAAAUUAUUAAAAAAAAAGAAAUUACUCCUUUUGCAAGUCUGACUGAGUCUUUGCAAGUCAGCACUACUUCUGUAGUGUGUUCUUUGCCUUUCUUGGACUGUGAAUGCAGUUAGGAAACGCUCUAGGAGCAUUUAAAAUAACACUGCACUAUGCCAAAGCAUGGUGGAAAGGUGGUCCUCUCUAACACAUUGGCUGAAUGUAACAAGAAUGGCAAUAGUUUUGCCAGAACAUUCCACAGUCAAGCAUUCUUAACUUCUCAGCACUUUGAGUGCAGCAUAUGUGGCAGUAUAGUAAAGGUUUAUAGACCUUUCCUCCAAAUGUUUAAAAUGCAUAAAAUAAAAGAUACAGCGUUAUAAAGGAAAUCAAUUAUAAUGAAACAGUUAUAAAAUGUCUUAAUGCGAUUGAGCAGUGUGUGCUUUUAAAUAGAGCUUGGCAGUCAUUCUAAUAGCCACUGUAAUUUUGCCAUAAUGAUGAACAAAAAUAUAUUUCAAGAUACUAGCACUAAAUCAAUGUGAUAUGAAAAUGGCUAUGAUUUCUUUUGGCAGAGUCAUAUUUAUUGCUCGUAUUACCAAAAUGUGUUGCCCACAUUCAUAAUUUUUAAUGCUGUAUUUUUUUUUGCUAGAGGUUAAUGAAAUAAAUAUGUAAUACCCCAACCCUCCCCAAGUUCAUGGACUUGAUCUUUCUAGCCGUAGUACAUCAGAACUCUCUGGUCAGCUGAGUAGAAACAGAUCAUAUGGAAACUAAGGAAAGGAUUUGGCAAGGCAUAAAUAACCAUUAUCCCAUUCAAGUAAUAAUUGCUGUUCUGUACAAAAAAAAAAAAC